AAUCAACGCUGGCGGCGUGCCUCAGACAUGCAAGUCGAACGCGAAAUUUCCCUUCGGGGAGAAAGUAGAGUGGCGCACGGGUGAGUAACACGUAGGUAAUUUGCCUUUGGGUGGGGAAUAACUCAGGGAAACUUGAGCUAAUACCGCAUAAUGCAGCGGCUCGACAUCGAGACAGUUGUUAAAGCGGGGGAUUGGAGCAAUCCGACCUCGCGCCUAAAGAGAAGCCUGCGGCAGAUUAGCUGGUUGGUAAGGUAAUGGCUUACCAAGGCGACGAUCUGUAACCGGCCUGAGAGGGCGGUCGGUCACACUGACACUGACAUACGGGUCAGACUCCUACGGGAGGCAGCAGU
rnacentral:rRNA from 1 species